rnacentral:rRNA from 1 species
AACAAACGCUGGCGGCGUGCCUAAUACAUGCAAGUCGAACGGGGAAAGUAGCAAUACGAGUACUAGUGGCGCACGGGUGAGGAAUACAUGGGUAAUCUGCCCUCGAGUUUGGGAUAACCAGUCGAAAGAUUGGCUAAUACCGGAUAUGACCACAGGAUCGGCGGAUCUAGGGGUAAAAGGUUUUUCGCUCGAGGAUGAGCCCAUGGGGAUUAGCUAGUUGGUGAGGUAACGGCUCACCAAGGCGACGAUCCCUAACUGGUCUUAGAGGAUGAUCAGUCACACUGGAACUGAGACACGGUCCAGACUCCUACGGGAGGCAGCAGUAGGGAAUAUUGCACAAUGGAGGAAACUCUGAUGCAGCGACGCCGCGUGAGUGAUGAAGGCCUUCGGGUCGUAAAGCUCUGUCGUAUGGGACUAACACAAUGAAGGUACCAUGCAAGAAAGGAUCGGCUAACUUCGUGCCAGCAGCCGCAGUAA